AGUUGCCAAAGAAUUUAUUUUUGAUAUUCAGAAUUGUCGAUUAAAGUAUAUUUCAGCAAAUUUCCACUACCUCAAAACUUUCCACUAAGUGUCCGCCUGUAAGUGACAAAUACAGAGUUGUUUGUUGAGAUAACUUGUGUUCAUACAUCAUACCAUUCAUCAAUGGACGAGUUUGUGGUAAGAUCUGGAAUAUGUGUUGGUUUGAUCCCCACAUAUUAGAAUAUCCACGAGGAAGGCAUGGUUCGAUUGAUAAUACUAAUUUCUCAUUUUUUAAAACUGCUUUGUCUACUGGAAGUUUGCAAGCUCUGCCUUCAUAAUUUACAUUCAAUGUGACUUCAUCAGUUUUAAUUUCGCUCCAUGCUUCUUCACGAAAGUCAAAUAUUUUGAAUUUUUUAGGAAUUUCAUUGUGCACAAUGGUAAAAGUUUUAAUAUCAACUUUAAAAUUGCAGUUUUUCUGACUUGGUUGUUUGAAUUGCGGUUUGAUGGUAACAGAUUUUAUCUUGAUUCUUUUGUUUGCUUUCACAGAUAAAGUUUCAGAACAAUACUCAGUUAACAUGCUACUAUUGAUAUCACCUGACCGGUUGUUACCUGGAUACACUAUAUCGUUAACUGACACGUCCACAACUCUACCACUUUCUCGCGGACGUACUCUAAAUAAUCCGCAUGUUAAUGCAUUAUUCGGAAUUGUAAUAGCUUUGAAAAUCUGUAGCUGCUCUUCGUCUGUCAAAAUUCUACUUGGUAUGACAACUGACGUAAAUUCUUCAAGAGAAAGUAAAGGGAUUGCCAUAGUAAAUAGAAUACCAUCUCUUAAAAGAACGGCUCGUCUUGAUUUCCCGUCGA
rnacentral:lncRNA from 1 species